AAGAGCCGGGUGCGGGAAAUCCGCCCGCCCGGAUCUGUGAGGGCGAAAGCCGAAUGGCUGAGCUACUCGAC
rfam:Mesorhizobium alhagi CCNWXJ12-2 contig256, whole genome shotgun sequence.